AGUUGAAUACAUUCCAGAGCUAACCUCGAAGCGAUUGUCCAUGAGUAUCACAGACUUUAUCCUUCCAUCUUUUGGACUUAUGUAUGCCAGAAAUGUAUCCUUAACUACAAGAUGUCUUUUGUGCCAUGUGCCACACAUUGAAGAACAGAAAUGGCUGCACCUGACACAGAACAUGCCCUGGAGCAAGCCACAGAGAUUACAACCAGAUUUUGCCUCAGAACCUGUUCUUUUCAUGACUAAACCUUCCUUGCCUUUUUCUCCCAAAUCACCAACAAAAGACAAAUGAGAAAUUUCCAUAAAACUUAUCUAAAGACAAAAGUACAAUAUUUUAAUCUGAGUAAUAUUCUUUUUUUGGUAAAGUUUGUUUUCAAAAUAAAAUUCACUUACAGUUUCUGGAUGUCGUUUGUAAAUUUCUAUUUUUAAUAAAGUAUCUAGAUAUUCCUCUAAAGCUUUCAUUCUGUGACUUAGGUACUCGUGAGGUAUGAGAACAUCAGGUCUGUUAGGAAACCUAAGAAUACAAAAUGCAUGCUUAGAAUUUAAACAUAAGUUUAAGAAACUAAAUAUUUGUGUUUGUUCUGCACACCUUGGUAAAGCACCUCUGCGUCUCUUCUUUCCUUUAAAAUUUGACAUAGUUUUGAAGCUGUGCCUCUUUUCUCUGUGGCUCUUGGUGGGGAACGGUAUAUUUAAACUUGCUCUAUAGAUCUUCAAUUGGUUGUGUAAGUUUUGUAUGUGCUUGUAUCGCUUCUUGAUUAUCCAUGUGAAGGGGCCAUGUGUAAAUUCAAUUGUAUACAAAUUUGGAUUAAGAGGAUGUGCCGUGACACUGCGUUCAAUGUCAAUGACUUUGGCAAAUAUAUCCUCGCCAGUGAUUGACUCGGGUACACCCAAGAAAUCAUCGUACUCCGAGUCAUGGGACAUUGCACUCUCCUCAGUAGUGUACUGGGUGACAUACUGAGGCACACUCCUGGAUUUCUCUUCUGUUGGACUUUCAUCCAAUUUGGCCAGAUCAGUCUCCAUGUUUGGUUGCAGCUGCAAACGAAAUAUUUACUGUCAGUGCACCCAAAAGAUAACAAUAUUGAUGCUCACUCUUCCAACAAAGUAUAAUGACUGAUUGACUCAACAUCUGCAGCAUGAAAUAUUAAGCAAGAGAAGUAUGAUAAGUACGAAGCUAGCCAUUGAUAAGGACAUUCAUUAUCUAUCAGAUUAUCUCUCCAAAAAUAAAGAUUGCUUGUAGAUUUAGUAAAACAACU